UGGCGGACGGGUGAGUAAUGUCUGGGAAACUGCCUGAUGGAGGGGGAUAACUACUGGAAACGGUAGCUAAUACCGCAUAACGUCGCAAGACCAAAGAGGGGGACCCUCGGGCCUCUUGCCAUCGGGAUGUGCCCAGAUGGGAUUAGCUUGUUGGUGGGGUAACGGCUCACCAAGGCGACGAUCCCUAGCUGGUCUGAGAGGAUGACCAGCCACACUGGAACUGAGACACGGUCCAGACUCCUACGGGAGGCAGCAUG
rnacentral:rRNA from 1 species